UACGUAGGUGGCAAGCGUUGUCCGGAUUUACUGGGCGUAAAGAGCGCGCAGGCGGUCGUUCAAGUCGCGUGUGAAAGCCCCCGGCUCAACUGGGGAGGGUCACGCGAUACUGAUCGACUGGAAGGCAGGAGAGGGUAGUGGAAUUCCAGGUGUAGCGGUGAAAUGCGUAGAUAUCUGGGGGAACACCGGUGGCGAAGGCGGCAUUCUGGACCGAAACUGACGCUGAGGCGCGAAAGCCAGGGGAGCAAACGGG
rnacentral:rRNA from 1 species